rnacentral:rRNA from 1 species
GAUGAACGCUGGCGGCGUGCCUAAUACAUGCAAGUCGAGCGAACGGACGAGAAGCUUGCUUCUCUGAUGUUAGCGGCGGACGGGUGAGUAACACGUGGAUAACCUACCUAUAAGACUGGGAUAACUUCGGGAAACCGUAGCUAAUACCGGAUAAUAUUUUGAACCGCAUGGUUCAAAAGUGAAAGACGGCCUUGCUGUCACUUAUAGAUGGAUCCGCGCUGCAUUAGCUAGUUGGUAAGGUAACGGCUUACCAAGGCAACGAUGCAUAGCCGACCUGAGAGGGUGAUCGGCCACACUGGAACUGAGACACGGUCCAGACUCCUACGGGAGGCAGCAGUAGGGAAUCUUACGCAAAGGGCGAAAGCCUGACGGAGCAACGCCGCGUGAGUGAUGAAGGUCUUCGGAUCGUAAAACUCUGUUAUUAGGGAAGAACAUAUGUGUAAGUAACUGUGCACAUCUUGACGGUACCUAAUCAGAAAGCCACGGCUAACUACGUG